CUUGCUCUCGGGUGACGAGCGGCGGACGGGUGAGUAAUGUCUGGGAAACUGCCUGAUGGAGGGGGAUAACUACUGGAAACGGUAGCUAAUACCGCAUAAUGUCGCAAGACCAAAGUGGGGGACCUUCGGGCCUCAUGCCAUCAGAUGUGCCCAGAUGGGAUUAGCUAGUAGGUGGGGUAACGGCUCACCUAGGCGACGAUCCCUAGCUGGUCUGAGAGGAUGACCAGCCACACUGGAACUGAGACACGGUCCAGACUCCUACGGGAGGCAGCAGUGGGGAAUAUUGCACAAUGGGCGCAAGCCUGAUGCAGCCAUGCCGCGUGUGUGAAGAAGGCCUUCGGGUUGUAAAGCACUUUCAGCGGGGAGGAAGGCGUUAAGGUUAAUAACCUUGGCGAUUGACGUUACCCGCAGAAGAAGCACCGGCUAACUCCGUGCCAGCAGCCGCGGUAAUACGGAGGGUGCAAGCGUUAAUCGGAAUUACUGGGCGUAAA
rnacentral:rRNA from 1 species